rnacentral:ribozyme from 1 species
UCCCUGAAGAACCCUGUAACGGGAUGGGAUCUGAAGACUCCUGAAGAUUCCAUCCAACUCAUAUUUCGACACGUCCACGUCGUGCAGGGUGGUAACAUGGGCCCAAGUCCAACCAUUUGGCAGGAUGAAGGCUCAUGGCUAAGAAGGAAGGG